UGAGGAAUAUUGGUCAAUGGACGCAAGUCUGAACCAGCCACGUCGCGUGAAGGAAGACGGCCCUACGGGUUGUAAACUUCUUUUAUACGGGAAUAAAGUGCCCCACGCGUGGGGUUUUGCAUGUACCGUAUGAAUAAGGAUCGGCUAACUCCGUGCCAGCAGCCGCGGUAAUACGGAGGAUCCGAGCGUUAUCCGGAUUUAUUGGGUUUAAAGGGUGCUCAGGCGGGGGAUUAAGUCGGCGGUGAAAUUUUGCAGCUCAACUGUAAAAGUGCCUUCGAAACUGGUUUCCUUGAGUGUGGAUGAGGUAGGCGGAAUUUGUGGUGUAGCGGUGAAAUGCAUAGAUAUCACGAGGAACUCCGAUUGCGCAGGCAGCUUACUAAACCAUAACUGACGCUCAAGCAC
rnacentral:rRNA from 1 species